CAAAUACUUCCUUCGUCCGGAAAUACUUGUCAUAGGAAUGAAUGUAUCUAGAUGUAUUUUAGUUUUAGGUACAUUCAUUUUUACACAUUUAUGUGACAAGUAAUUCCGGACGAAUGGAGUAUGUG
rnacentral:pre_miRNA from 1 species